rnacentral:rRNA from 1 species
CGCGUAGGCGGGCCGCAUAGUCAGGGGUGAAAGCCUCCAGCUCAACUGGAGAAGUGCCUUUGAUACUGGCGGCCUCGAGGGGUGCAGGGGCGUGCGGAACUUAGGGUGGAGCGGUGAAAUGCGUAGAUAUCCUAAGGAACACCGGUGGCGAAGGCGGCACGCUGGACACCUUCUGACGCUGAGGCGCGAAAGCCAGGGAGCAAACG